GAUGAACGCUAGCUACAGGCUUAACACAUGCAAGUCGAGGGGCAGCAUGGUCUUAGCUUGCUAAGGCUGAUGGCGACCGGCGCACGGGUGAGUAACACGUAUCCAACCUGCCGUCUACUCUUGGUCAGCCUUCUGAAAGGAAGAUUAAUCCAGGAUGGGAUCAUGAGUUCACAUGUCCGCAUGAUUAAAGGUAUUUUCCGGUAGACGAUGGGGAUGCGUUCCAUUAGAUAGUAGGCGGGGUAACGGCCCACCUAGUCAACGAUGGAUAGGGGUUCUGAGAGGAAGGUCGGCCACAUUGGAACUGAGACACGGUCCAA
rnacentral:rRNA from 1 species